AGCGGCGCAGACCACGGAUCCGUCCCUCCUUCACCCCAGCCAGGCGCUAACGGGGCAGAAACCUUGGAAGAGGCUUUUUCAGGGCAGGGGCUCAGAGGCCAGAGAGUCAUCUGUUGUCCUGGCCCACAUGGUCCAUCUACAGAGAAAUCAAAGCUACACAUCUGGUUCGAUCUAAAACUCCGAGGAAACCAGAAGAUGAGGAACCUGAGGACAAGGGAAGUUGAUUGACCUAUGCCAAGAUCACACAGCUAGUAAGUGUCGGAUGCAAGAAAGGAACCAAGGUCCUCUAAUUCCAGAGAACAACAGUGAGUUUGGAUGAUGCCUAUUAGGGAUGCCGGGUAGGACCUUCCUUUAAUGGGUGAGCAGCUGGACGUGAGGAUGCCAAGGCUUCUUUCACAGUUUCAGAUCUGGGUGGUUAUUAGGUAGAGCUGAUCAUUGGAAAGUGACAACGGUGCUAUUACUCAGUCAAGACCUUCACUAAAGAACAGAGAUGUCCAUGGUCCACUGAUGAAGCAUGAUGCACAGCAGAGAGCAGCAAUGACAUCACCAUACAUGUGAUCAGAGAUGAUACAUGUCAUCUCCAGCAAUAUGGGUGCCUUGCAGCUGUAUGUGACCUGAACACAUGUGUAUUUGACAAGCGUGUUCCCCUUCACAUAUAUUUUCUGAUCAAGUGUGUCCUCUGUAUGAGGCCCUUUACCCAUUGCUUUUAUGGAAACUUGUGAAUGUGACCCACGUGCACAGGAAUAUUUUCCACGUCACCUAUCUUGCUAUGUUAGUAAAUUAAAUCCUUUGCUUUAAUCUAAUCUAUCAUUUGUGGCUAACUUGGUAAAAGUAAAUACAUUGUUAGGGUCUUCUGAAUUUCACUUCUCAAAGGAUGCUAACCUAUACCCAUAGAAACCCACCCUGUGUGGAGGAAGUAAGGUAAGAGCCACAAUUACAAUACACAAUACUAGAUAAGUGAAUCAUCAGAGAGUUACAUACAGAGUACUAGGUGAUGGCAUCGAUGUGUGGUAUAAGAGCACUGAAUUGGGGUUCAGGAGGCCUGAGUUUGCCACUUACCAUCUGUCUGCCCUUGAUCAGGUCUCUUAGGUUUAACCUAUUACUAAUGUAACAGGAUUGGCUCCUCUUACCCUGAGCAGGCAUGAAGCCUGAAGCUAGAGUUCAUGGUGAGUGUAAUGAGGGACUGGCCAAUGAGCCCAAUCCUUACAAGUCUGUGCAGAGUGCUCAGCUGAUGCAAUUCCCACACGGACUUUGGAACAUUGGUAGACAUUCCGUUACUCAUUCCAGACCUCUAACCAUGUGUUGAACAGGAGCUUCUGUGAUUGGCUAUGGCUCUGUGGCCACAGCUAAAGAUGCAUCCAAAAGGCACUAGAUGACCAGAACCUCCUUCUUCUCUUGGGGUGACCUUUUUCUGCUUGUCAUUGUUCCAGUGAGAGAAUUGAGACAAUGAUGUAAGGGGAGAGCCCAGCUCUCCCUGUCAGAAGCCAAGAUGAAUACGGACUUUGGUUCUUUGCCUUGGGAUUUUUGUUCUUUCAUUUUAGGUGAAGGAGAUUGGAGUAUAUAGCCUUGUGAGUUUCGAAAGGUCAGGAGAAAAAACAACCAGCAGAUCUGGGAAUAGAUGAUUAGCUAGAGUUUAUAGCCAUCCAGUCUAGCACUGAGGCCCAGAGGAAUGAGGAAUGACCUCCAGGACCCAGCCCACUAGUAGUUGAGACAAUGGUUCAUCCAGAAGUGAUUCUGCAUUUGGACUAGAUACAGGAAUAUAAUGGUAAAUGUUUAACAACCUGCUCUCUGGGGGGGAAAAUGCAUGCAUGAUAGAUUCAUGUUUAAUCUGUAUUAACAUCAUCAUUUUCUUAAGU